rnacentral:rRNA from 1 species
AUUGAACGCUGGCGGCAGGCCUAACACAUGCAAGUCGAGCGGAGCGGCGGACGGGUGAGUAAUGCCUAGGACUCUGCCUGGUAGUGGGGGAUAACGUCCGGCCACGGUCGCUACUACCUCAUACUCUCAGUUGAGCCUAGGUCGGCUUAGCUAGUUGGUGGGGUAAAGGCCUACCAAGGCGACGAUCCGUAACUGGUCUGAGAGGAUGAUCAGUCACACUGGAACUGAGACACGGUCCAGACUCCUACGGGAGGCAGCAGUGGGGAAGAGUGGACAAUGGGCGAAAGCCUGAUCCAGCCAUGCCGCGUGUGUGAAGAAGGUCUUCGGAUUGUAAAGCACUUUAAGUUGGGAGGCGUUACCAACAGAAUAAGCACCGGCUAACUUCGUGCCAGCAGCCGCGGUAAUAC